CUGGGUAAUAAUUUAACCUAUCUAGUAUACUCUUCCAUUUUGCAAUUGCUCUGUCCUUUAAUAUGUAACUGUAUUACAAUUUCCUUCACUCUCUGUCUAGCCUCUUGCUUCCUUUGUUGAAAUCUUCUUGCAUUUCUCUCUGCCCAGACAUGAUAGACAGUUGUUGCAAAGAGAAAUCAUAGAAUAUGAGUCCUUGGUCGAUUGUUCCUUUUAAUUCUGCAGCCAUGUAAUUUGUGGAUUAUAGAUUUAAAUUAAAACUGCAGAAUAAAGUUGCAUAAAACUUAGGCAUAUACUCAUGAAAUGGGAUUAGUUUAUCUAUAGUUGUAAUGUAAAAAAUGAAGGAUAAAAUGAACCUUGAUUCUUUAGUCAAAUUCUCAUUUCUAGCUCUUUGCUCACAUGCUAGUUCCUAACUUCCUGUUAGUAAGUAAAACACACAUUCAGACAAGUAAACUUGGAUUUGGUUUUUGGAAAAUACUAGACAAACAUAUAAAACCAUUUGAAACCUUUCCAGUUCAAAUGUACCCUUCUCCUCAGUAAUAAGUUUUUUUUCUCCUCAAGUUCAGUGAAUUUCUACUAAAAAUGGCUGUAAAUCUUUUGUUCUUGCAAGUUUGCUUGUAGAGUUGCAACGCAGAAUACUUACUGCUAGUUGUGAAAGCAAUAUUUUCACCUACUUAACCAUGCUCGAUCCAACUACAAGUAUAAAUGAAAAAGAUGAAUGUUUGAACAUCUUAUUAAUACAAUAGAAUUCACAUUUGUCUUUAAUGGUGAAAAAUAAGCUUAGCUACUUAUGGAGAUCACAAAUAUUAAAAGUUCAUUUAAUUCUUGCCAUAUACAUUAGAUGCAGUUCUACUUUUCAUCUGUAGAUCACCUCCCCAGCUCGUCUAAUUUUAAGAACCAUCAAUACUCCAUUUCUUAUUCUAAUAAACUUGAAUUAGAUAUUUCUAAUCAAAAAAUGCCGGAGCAAUAAAUUUAUGUAAUUUAAGUCAAAACUAGAUAAUACAUUGGCCCUAGAAGAACAGAGAAUACAUAUCCAAUAUUCUUCAUUUUUUUACUAAACAUGUUAUUUUAGAAUCUUUAAACUAGUUUAAAUAUCCUCCACAUAAUAUCUUCAUUUUCAAAUAAAACAUUGAUAACGAGUAACAUCACAACUUAGAAGCCUCAUUAGCUCAGAAAUACUUCUAUUGUUCUUCGAAGUUUAACAUUUGAAACGACUCUAAUUUAACCCAUGAUGAAAAACAUUAAAGAUUUUCAACCUACGAAUGUCUAAAAUUGAUUUAUCAUCUUUUAACAAUUGAAAAUACUACUUGUAAAAUACCAUAUAUAAGUCAUUAUUGUCCAAGCGACAAUAUUUCUAUAUGACAUUUUAUCAAACACUUCAUAGGCUUCUUAAGUUAGUUCUAUAGGAGCAAACACCAAAAGUAAUAUUGUCUAAACAAAUGAAUUCAAAUCAAACUAGAUCACUAGCAAUUCAGUAAAAACAAACGAAUAAGAAAUAAACUCAUACUCCUCUUAUUACAAAAUGAGCAUCAAACAAAUGCCAAACUAAAAAAACCAAAACCAAAUUAUAAACAAUUAUUUACUGUACUUAGCUACCUACCUUCUCCGAUGGGGAAAAAAAUCCAUAAUAUACCUGCAGUAUUCUAACACUCGUACAUGAACUAACCCAUGAGCCAAAAUAAAUCUUCUGCUAGCAUUGAUAGCCUCAUAAUCCCAAGUUUUAUUCAUGCCAAAAUGGAAUAAAGAAAAAUAAUCAACAAUUACCAAAUCUUAUAAGAAUGUGAAUAGCAAAUGACAAAAAAAUAUUGAUUGUGAAAGUACCAUAGAGGUAGCCGGCAGUGACGAAGAUGUAGGUGGUAAGGCAAAGAGUUCUGAUCUACAACCGGUUAUUCGAGAUUUGCCAAUGUUAUAAUGUUUGUGUUCAUCCUUUUCUUCCCCUUUGGUUGUAGUCUGUAGAUAUGGGCUAACGAGAUUCUGAAAUAAUUUUGAUGGACGAAAAUAAGAGAAAUAAGAACAGUAAAUAAAAAACAAGCCAAGGGCGGGAGGAUUAAAAG
rnacentral:lncRNA from 1 species